rnacentral:rRNA from 1 species
AGUUUGAUUCUGGCUCAGGACGAACGCUGGCGGCGUGCCUAAUACAUGCAAGUCGAACGCUUCUUUUUCCACCGGAGCUUGCUCCACCGGAAAAAGAGGAGUGGCGAACGGGUGAGUAACACGUGGGUAACCUGCCCAUCAGAAGGGGAUAACACUUGGAAACAGGUGCUAAUACCGUAUAACAAUCGAAACCGCAUGGUUUUGAUUUGAAAGGCGCUUUCGGGUGUCGCUGAUGGAUGGACCCGCGGUGCAUUAGCUAGUUGGUGAGGUAACGGCUCACCAAGGCCACGAUGCAUAGCCGACCUGAGAGGGUGAUCGGCCACAUUGGGACUGAGACACGGCCCAAACUCCUACGGGAGGCAGCAGUAGGGAAUCUUCGGCAAUGGACGAAAGUCUGACCGAGCAACGCCGCGUGAGUGAAGAAGGUUUUCGGAUCGUAAAACUCUGUUGUUAGAGAAGAACAAGGAUGAGAGUAACUGUUCAUCCCUUGACGGUAUCUAACCAGAAAGCCACGGCUAACUACGUGCCAGCAGCCGCGGUAAUACGUAGGUGGCAAGCGUUGUCCGGAUUUAUUGGGCGUAAAGCGAGCGCAGGCGGUUUCUUAAGUCUGAUGUGAAAGCCCCCGGCUCAACCGGGGAGGGUCAUUGGAAACUGGGAGACUUGAGUGCAGAAGAGGAGAGUGGAAUUCCAUGUGUAGCGGUGAAAUGCGUAGAUAUAUGGAGGAACACCAGUGGCGAAGGCGGCUCUCUGGUCUGUAACUGACGCUGAGGCUCGAAAGCGUGGGGAGCAAACAGGAUUAGAUACCCUGGUAGUCCACGCCGUAAACGAUGAGUGCUAAGUGUUGGAGGGUUUCCGCCCUUCAGUGCUGCAGCUAACGCAUUAAGCACUCCGC